rnacentral:sRNA from 89 species
UUUGCACUCAUCGGGGAAGGGUGAGAACCUUCGACUAAGGUUCGACUCGAGCGAAAGCGAGAGAACGUUUUCACAGGCAACGGCCCGAAGGGUGAGGAGCGAAGCGACGAAUAAUCCUUUCCCCACCGCCA